GGAACACACAGUUCUAAAUGUGAUGUCUCCAUCAAUUUUCUCCCCUCAAAGCUAAGGGAUCAUUGAGGAAGAGAAGGUGGUAGGAGUGUGGGAGCCAAAGGGGAACAUCAGGAGACAGCAAAGGCCAUAAGAACUUACGGAUACUGAACCACUUAGCCCAGAGCCUACAUUGGUCUGCAUCAGGUCCUCUGUGUAUAUAUUAUGACUUUGAGAGGUAGAGUCCAUCAUCAUCAGGAUAGGGAAGCUUGGCAGCAAGAAGGUAUGAAGGUUGGAGCAGCAAGAUGAGAACUCAUCUCUUAGGACAUAAAAAGGAAGCAGAAAACAAACCGUAUGUCCUAAGGCUUCUGAAACCUCAAAGCUUCGAAGUGACAAACACUCUCUAGGAAGGUCAAAUCUCCUAAACCUAAAUAUUUAAAUAUGUCUACCAACCAGAGACCAAGUAUUGACAUGCAAAGACUUUGGGGAUACCUCAUUUAAACCAGAUCAAUUACCUACAACAAUGAUUGACAUAAUGAUGUAUCUGCAAUGACUCAGUAGUUGGAUUUUUAUCCUGGAAGUAACCAAUAGCUGUCUAAUUGGACCUAAUGCCCAUGCAAUAACUAUAAACCUAAUCAAGAA